UUGGCGGCAUGGAUUAGGCAUGCAAGUCGAGCGAGAAGGUUUCUUUUGCUUGCAUUAGAAGCUGGAAAGCGGCGCAAGGGAGAGUAACGCGUAGAAACGUACCCCGAGGUCCGGGAUAGCGGCGGGAAACUGCCGGUAAUACCGGAUAAUGUCUCCGGACCAAAGUUUUUCGCCUUGGGAGCGGUCUGCGUCCUAUUAGCUUGUUGGUGGGGUAAUGGCCUACCAAGGCGAAGAUGGGUAGCGGGCGUGAGAGCGUGACCCGUCUCACUGGGACUGAGACACUGCCCAGACACCUACGGGUGGCUGCAGUCGAGAAUCUUCCGCAAUGGACGAAAGUCUGACGGAGCAAUGCCGCGUGCGGGAUGAAGGCCUUCGGGUUGUAAACCGCUGUCAGUGGGGAGGAAAUUUUGACCGAACCGCAGAGGAAGUCCGGGCUAAGUACGUGCCAGCAGCCGCGAUAACACGUACCGGACGAACGUUAUUCGGAAUCACUGGGCUUAAAGAGUGCGUAGGCGGCUUUGUAGGUGAGGUGUGAAAGCCCACGGCUCAACCGUGGAAUUGCGCUUCAAACCACAAGGCUUGAGGGAGACAGGGGUGAGCGGAACUGAUGGUGGAGCGGUGAAAUGCGUUGAUAUCAUCAGGGAACACCGGUGGCGAAGGCGGCUCACUGGGUCUCUUCUGACGCUGAGGCACGAAAGCUAGGGUAGCGAACGGGAUUAGAUACC
rnacentral:rRNA from 1 species